rnacentral:lncRNA from 1 species
GACAGAGCCGGACCCCGUAUCAAGAAAGAAAGAGAAAAGAAAAAGAACCAAAGAAAAAGAAAAGUCACCAUCGCACGGUUAAGUCUGCCUUGCUACAGCUAAACAGUGACUUCCUAGGACCAAGAAAUCGCAGCCAGGGCUAGACCGAUGCCCUAAAUCGGGACUUGCUUAGGCUGAGAAAUCACAUUUUGGCUAGUUAUUUGGACAAGAGGUAGAAAUAGCGGGCACCGCGAAAUCGAAACUUGCUAGGACCAAGAAGCCAACGACGGGCGAAACCGCAGGGGCCUGCGAUAGAGACGCCAGCGGCGCCGCCGGGGGACUGGGUUCAGGAGGCCGAGCAGGAACCCGUGCGUCGGCGCUCGCGGCGCUGUGAAGAGACGGCGUCCGCGCAGCUCCUCUGCCUCUGGCUCGGAGGAGCGGCGGGCUCCCCCGCCCAGCGCCGGCGUCGCCCGGGAACCCCAGACUCUGCGCAACUGGCUGCGAUUCCAAAUCCCUCAGAUCGGCUACCAGAGCGCUGCCGCCACCGAGAAAAUGGAGGCACCGAGGAACAAGAUGUGCCGCGACCAAGAGAACUCGGCUUGGCGAAAUGGCGGUGCUGGGACCCUAAGAGUGACGCCAGCCGGAGGAGUUCCCAAGGACAACAUCCAUUUUGGCGGAACCAACGGUGUUGUCACGCAGAAAAUGUCGACCCUCGGAAAAGAGAGGUUCUGCGACCGAGAAAUUCGGUGCAACAAGUGCUGUGACAGAAAACCCCCCGCUCGGCGCUGCUGGCGAAAGAGCCAACAAAACGCUGGGUGCUGCCACCGUGACACCGACUUUAGGACCCCGGCCUCGGAUGGAGAAAGGAGGGUACGGAGCCACCACAUAACUUCCUAAUGUCUUCAAAUAGCGAAAGUGCUAGCCGGAAACUGCCGGCUGGGUUUACCUAUUGGUGCUCGUGUGGGACUAGCAGAUUCGAGAAACCAGCGGGACUGGAACCUAGUACACUUCGGCAGUUGAGAAAUGACUUACCAGGACAAAUACUGCUUCUGGCUCGAUGGUGCUGCCCAUGAACAUCCGCCGGCUCUGAGAAACGAGCUGCACUGUCAGUGAGAAACCGUGGGCACUGAGAAACGAGCGGACUGCAACUGAUAACUGCCCACCCAGUGCCACUACGACAAAGUGCUGCUGGCACUACUCCCACCCUCCGUCCUCAAAUCAGUCCCCUCCCGCCUAAGAAGACCUUUAUUUUUCCUAGCGAAGUCAUACUGAGGGCCCCAUCAACCGAUCCCUUGCGAUGCGCAUGGGAAAAGGAGGCAGUAUAGGGACCGAGAAUCGGGCGGAUUGGGCUGGCCCUGGUAACAAAAGCCAUCCGGGUCGCCAACCGUCUUCCACUGCAAGAAACAAACCUUCCAGUGGCUGGGCUCCGCCCUUCUCCUUGGUCAGAGCCCUCCAGGCUCCUAAGGGCGAAGCCGACACCUCAUCCCUUUGGAACUUGAAGUUCUCAGUCCAAGACCUCCGUGGAGAGUGAAAGACUCAAUGCCUCCUGACCGAGGCUUCAGGCCUGCCCCGGCAGCUAGGUACCUCUCCAGGGGAUGGAACUCUGUGGGAACUGCUAUUUAAUUCUGAUGGUUAACUCUGUCAGAUGGCCUUGAUAUAUGGGAAUAAUCGUUGCAGGAGGGUAGGGGAAAUAAGAAUCGCAAGACUCUAGCACAGGACGUGUGGAUUGAUGGAAACCUGAAACUGCCAUUGAGCAGAAGGAAAACAUCCCUUUCCAGAACCUUUCUCGUUUUUCUAAAAAUCUGCACUUUUGGAAGUGAUCCCCCAAAGAGACCUCCAGACUCUACCAUGAGUGUCUCCAGCUGAACUCAUCGUGUCUAAUCCUCACCCUAGCUUAUCCUGUUCAAAUCAUUUCCAUCUUUUUCUGGAUGAACCUGGGCGGAUGUCAGACCAGAGAAGAGCACAGAAUGUACCAGAGAGCAUAACCUCAUUCUUCUUGGAUGCAGGACAACAACUCGGGAUCCACCUAACACGGGUACAAAGAAGGCUGUAACACGGGAAGCAGCUGUUGGGCCAAACCAGCCCUGGAGCUGUAGGCCAGAGCAAGACCACAGGACUGACAGAGCUGUUAACACGCUGACAUCUUUCGGGCUGCAGAGGGCGGGACUGAAAGAGCUAUUAGCAUGUUGUAACACCCACUCUGGGGCUUUGGGGUCACGGGCAUCCCUGUUUGGGUGCCAUCACAUUCCCCUCAUCUGGAUGCCAGAGUCCACCAUAGGAGUCACUUGCAACAUGCCUGGUCCAGCCACAAGUCCCACACAGAGCCUGCUCCUGUGCUGGUGCUUGGAGCUACCAGUGGAACCCCACACUCACUAGCUCACACACCCCUCCUGCCAGGGGCUGAGUGCACAGUCAUGGUGGCCACAGGAUCUGCACCAGAGGACAUGCCAGGCACAGCCCAGCAAACCGAGUAGAUGGGGCAUCUCCUGUGGUUAGCCUGGGCUCCAGCAAGGCCUAGGUAGGG